UGGGAGACGGAAGUAGGGUUUUGAUUUUUGAAUAUUGAAAAGUGAAUAGUUUAUUACAACUUUUGGUUUUUAUACUAUAACCCUAAUUCCUUAGUGGGCCUGAGUUGGGCCUUUUACAUAAUACUAAAUUUAAACUAAACUAAAAUUGAAAGUGAUACUUGAUAUUCUUAAUAUAUCCCAAUCCAAAACGCUCAGAGGUGUUUAAUUUAAUCGACUUCUUCAAUUUUAGGUCCGGCGCCACUACUGCUUUGUCCUACAAGAGUAGCAUCAUCCUCGUCCAUACCUGCAGAACUCUGGUACAUUUUAGCAAUGAUGGGGUUACAGAUGCCCUCCAGUUCCUUCAUCUUGUCUUCAAAUUCGUCUGUUUCGGCUUGCUGAUUGCUGUCCAACCAAUUGAUGGCCUUUUC
rnacentral:lncRNA from 1 species